GCACAAGCGGUGGAGCAUGUGGUUUAAUUCGACGCAACGCGAAGAACCUUACCUGGGCUUGACAUCCCGAUCGCACCUUAUGGAAACAUAGGGGUCAGUUCGGCUGGAUCGGUGACAGGUGCUGCAUGGCUGUCGUCAGCUCGUGUCGUGAGAUGUUGGGUUAAGUCCCGCAACGAGCGCAACCCUUGUCCUUAGUUGCCAGCAUUCAGUUGGGCACUCUAAGGAGACUGCCGGUGUCAAACCGGAGGAAGGUGGGGAUGACGUCAAGUCCUCAUGGCCCUUAUGUCCAGGGCUACACACGUGCUACAAUGGCCGGUACAAAGGGGCGCAAGACCGCGAGGUGGAGCAAAUCCCAAAAAACCGGUCUCAGUUCGGAUUGGAGUCUGCAACUCGACUCCAUGAAGUUGGAAUCGCUAGUAAUCGCGUAUCAGCAUGACCGCGGUCGAAUACGUUCCCGGGCCUU
rnacentral:rRNA from 1 species